rnacentral:rRNA from 1 species
AGCAUCUAAGCGGGAAGCCUACCUCAAGAUAAGAUUUCCCCGAGACUUUAUGUCUCCUAAAGAGCCGUUGAAGACUACGACGUUGAUAGGUUGGAUGUGGAAGCAUAGUGAUAUGUGAAGCUGACCAAUACUAAUUGCUCGUGAGGCUUGACUAUACAACACCCAAACAGUUG